CAUUUUUACGCGCUUCUGCAGCAACAUUACACAUGUUUAGACUGUAUUGUGUCUCAAAAAUAGUGUCAUUAAUUAAACAGCAUUUCAAAAAAGAUUAUGUCGGAUAUUGAAGGAUUUAUGGAGAAAUAACGCAUUUGCACCACGUUUCUUGGUGCGUUUGUGGACGCACCAGCUUGGAUGCGCUCUCCCCUUCAAGUUGAGACUGAAGAUCAUCUGCUCCACCUCUCCAAGGGUGGUUAUGUGCCCAAGUCUUAUUUCUGACUGUGAGCAGUUGCCUGGCAACCAUGGAAGACACAUGAAGUUAGAAUGAAAAGUCCCCCUGAAAUGAAACUCCCUUGGCGUUAGUCUGAGUUGGGUCACUUCUGCCAGCUGUUUAACUGCUGAAACAUAUGGCUCAUCAUUUGUCUGUUCCAGCUGUGUAAGUAAAACACACACAUAUAGCACCCACUAGUGGUCAGAAGUGUAAUGUGAGUUAAGUGUAAAUGCAGUAAAAGUGUAUAACAGGAGCACUAAUGGUAGCAACAUGCACCUGGAAACAUCUUCCUAAGCCUUAAACAUACUAAGAAUAAAGCUGAGUGUUUAAAUGAAACUUUUUUGCUAAUCCAGUAAUGCUGCUAACAGCCAGAGUAAAUGGUCUCAGUGUUCAUUGAGCGUGUAAUAAUGAGGAGCGUCAGGUGUUUACCCGACAGCACAUCACUGGUCUCUGUCCAAGCCAAUGAUGCACUAGAGGAGGAAGGUGAUAAGGAUCCACUUUUACCACUGCUCAUCUCUCCAAUUCCACUCCUCUCUUGUGGAAAAUUAGAUGUUUCCAUUCCCAAACUAUCAACUUUGACCUAAAUAUGUAGAAUCUUGAACUUGUAAACUGAGUUCUGACUUAGACAAGUACAGCAGACUGUCAAAAACUCUUGUACUCAAUUUAAAUGACACUAUCAGUCCCAAGACUAUUACCAGAAUCCUCCUUCAUUGCUAUAUUAAUUUAAUGGGCAUUUUAGUGUGUAUAUUUACUCAUUUUCAGAAUGACAGCUGGAUAGACAGUCAAUUAAGGCAGCAUAAUUAAGACGACAGCUGUGAAAAAUUUGGUCCUCAAAAUUCUGCCCAAAGGCAAGUAUUAUCUUGUACAUAAACAAAAAAACAAAA